AAGAGAAAGAGAGGAAUAAUAAUAUCAAUCUUUAGGAAAACAUUUCUUCAUACAAGAGGAUAAAAGUGCUUUUAUUUUGAUUUUUUUUGCUAUUUCAAUUUUGUUUCUUUUCAGUCAAGAGUUUGUUCCUAAAAGCUCGCUUUUUCUUUUUU
rnacentral:ribozyme from 1 species